rnacentral:rRNA from 1 species
UACGGAGGGGGCGAGCGUUGUUCGGAAUUACUGGGCGUAAAGGGCGCGUAGGCGGCCUUGUCAGUCAGGCGUGAAAGCCCCGGGCUCAACCUGGGAUGUGCGUUUGAUACUGCGAGGCUAGAGACCGGAAGAGGAUGGCGGAAUAUCCAGUGUAGAGGUGAAAUUCGUAGAUAUUGGAUGGAACACCAGUGGCGAAGGCG